GGCCGGUUGGCGAAAUGGUAUCGCGUCAGAUUUCGGCUAGAGAACAAUCUCUUGUAAACCGUCAUCCUACCUCUGAAGAUUGUGGGUUCGAAUCCCAUAUCGGUCG
rnacentral:tRNA from 1 species